GGUCUAGUGGUGAGGCCAUUAGCUGGCUCUCACUCUCUUCUGUUAGGGGAGAUAUGCAGGAACCCUUAACUCCAAGAGGCAGAAGAGCCUGGGUGGAUGUGAGAGGAAGGGGGAUCAGAGGGAGAGGAAGCAGGAAGGUUACUGCUAAGUUCUGACUCAAGGGAAGCAGUUUCAGGCAGAGUUAAGGAAGUCAAAGGUUUCUUUCUAGGUAGAGAAGCCCAGUUCAUCAGCCUAUGAAAGAACACUGGAAUUUAGAACACAAACUCCUUCUAGGGUGUAAUGAUUGUACACUGGUUAGUGUUACUUAGUACUGUAUUUCUAAGGAAACCGAGCUUGCUGAUGGGACAGAAGAGGGAGACAAUUUUCAACGUCAUUUUCCUCUAACUGUAUGGUCUCUCUCACAGGUAUACAAGGACCCCAGAACCUUAACACAAUUCUGAGGUGGAAGAAAUGGGGAACACCAGGCCUGGCCUCAUGGAGACCGGGGAGUCAGAACCUGAGCACAGGAACCAGCUACAGAAUUUGCAAGUGGAGAAUCCAGUGGGUGGGCCUUCUCCAAUCAGGCCUUAAGAGCAAAGACCAUGGUUUCUCAAAGAAAGAAUUUUCCUCAAGACUGCAACAUAGAGACCUUGCCUGAGUUUCCAGCCUGAUACCCUGAAGAAUUUGGACUCAAGACUGCAAUAUCAGCUCUUUCCUGAAUUUCUAGCCUGCUGGCCUGCCCUACAGAUUUUAGAUCUCCCAGCCCCAUUGCAUGAGCUAAUUCCUUAAAAUAAAUAAAUCUCUGUGUGUGUAUGUGUGCUGUAACUAAUAUAUCCUAUUGGUCUGUUUCUCCGGAGAACCCUAACUAACACAAUUGUCUACCAUAUUACUGCAUAAAAGACUUAUGACUCACCUUUACUACAUUUCA
rnacentral:lncRNA from 1 species